rnacentral:rRNA from 1 species
UAACCUGCUAAAUAGUUAGGCCAACGUUUGUUGGUCGUCAACUUCUUAGAGGGACUAUUGACUAUUAGUCAAUGGAAGUUUGAGGCAAUAACAGGUCUGUGAUGCCCUUAGAUGUUCUGGGCCGCACGCGCGCUACACUGAUCAAGUCAACGAGUUUACAACCUUGGCCGGAAGGUCUGGGUAAUCUUUUGAAACUUGAUCGUGCUGGGGAUAGUCCAUUGCAAUUAUUGGACUUCAACGAGGAACUCCUAGUAAGCGUGAGUCAUCAGCUCGCGUUGAUUACGUCCCUGCCCUUUGUACACACCGCCCGUCGCU